rnacentral:rRNA from 1 species
AGUGAACGCUGGCGGUAGGCCUAACACAUGCAAGUCGAACGGCAGCACAGUAAGAGCUUGCUCUUACGGGUGGCGAGUGGCGGACGGGUGAGGAAUACAUCGGAAUCUACUUUUUCGUGGGGGAUAACGUGGGGAAACUUACGCUAAUACCGCAUACGACCUACGGGUGAAAGCAGGGGAUCUUCGGACCUUGCGCGAUUGAAUGAGCCGAUGUCGGAUUAGCUAGUUGGCGGGGUAAAGGCCCACCAAGGCGACGAUCCGUAGCUGGUCUGAGAGGAUGAUCAGCCACACUGGAAAUGAGACACGGUCCAGACUCCUACGGGAGGCAGCAGUGGGGAAUAUUGGACAAUGGGCGCAAGCCUGAUCCAGCCAUACCGCGUGGGUGAAGAAGGCCUUCGGGUUGUAAAGCCCUUUUGUUGGGAAAGAAAAGCAGCAGGUUAAUACCCCGCUGUUCUGACGGUACCCAAAGAAUAAGCACCGGCUAACUUCGUG